rnacentral:rRNA from 1 species
CAUGUCCUCUUGAUAAUUAUUUGAGGUCUGAUCUGCUCAAUGAGUAGUUAAAUUGCCGCGGUAUUCUGACCGUGCGAAGGUAGCAUAAUAAUUAGUUUCUUUAUUGGAAGCUGGAAUGAAUGAUUGGACGAGAAAAAAUCUGUCUCUGUUGAAUUGAAUUUUGAAUUUAACUUUUAAGUAAAAAGGCUUAAAUGGUUUUAAAAGACGAGAAGACCCUAUAGAGUUUAACAAAUUAUUUAUUUAAAGUUUUUGGUAUUUAUUGUUUUGAUAAUGUUGUUUGUUUAGUUGGGGUGACUGGAAGAUUUGUUUAACUCUUCUAAAUUUUUGUUAUUGAUUUAUAAAUUUUUAUUCUGAUGUUUUCAAGUUUAAUAUAAAUUACCUUAGGGAUAACAGCGUUAUUUCUCUUUAGAGUUCUUAUUGGAAGAGAAGUUUGCGACCUCGAUGUUGGAUUAAAAUUUAUUUUGGGUGCAGUAGCUCAAAUAUUAGGUCUGUUCGACCUUUAAAAUUUUACAUGAUCUGAGU